GGGGUGAGGGCGGAGGUGGCAGAGGGGUGACCGCGGAGGAGGGAGUGCCUGGGAACAGGCAACAUGUGCCUGGCGCAAUGCCCUGCAGCUGGCGGUGGGUGGGGCCGCCGCUUUCCUCUGUCGACCGAGGCUGCUGACGGGAAAAACCAUCCGAGAGGGAGCGCCCCCGCCCAGAUUCCCUCCACCCUGAAAGUCUGCGGGAUUUUAGGGCCGAGUAAACCAAGCGGAAGCUCAGGGCCGUGUUAUAGACCCAUGUUGAGAUUUUCAGAUUGGCCUUCGAGGCUCCUUUCUGCCAACUACCGGCUCUGUGACCACAGGCGUCGCUUAGCCUGGCCUGUUUCCCCACUCUUCGAGAGGCUUGCGGCCUGCGAGUAGCCACGAAGAAAAGAGUUCACGUCCCAAUCACUACCUGCCUACAAAGCACAGAGAAAAUCAGCGUUACACGAGCAACCAGGGCAGGCAGUGCUCUAAGGAGGGGACGCCUUUCUCUGCCUUUGGAUGAGUUAGAUUUGUCAGACAUUUCCAGCUGUUACAAAGGCCUCUGACCAUUGAAGGAAAGCUGACUUCGCUGCUCAGAUGACAAGUUCCAGGUCCCCCAGGGAAAGUGCAGGAGCGGGAGCCUGAACCGGCAUUCUGGACUCGACCACGUGCGCCCACGUUACCCGUGACAGUCUGAUUGGCCGUCACCCGUCAAGAAGAACCAGUGGCCACUGGACUGAACCCUCCCCUGUAUUUGUUCAGGAGCUCUCAGAGUUCUCAUUCCUCAGGGAAGCACUUUCAGAAUCAACCUGACUCCUAGUUCCUUGAAGGAGGAGAAGAGGCCUAGCUCACCUUUGUAACCCCAGUCCCUGGGGCUGCAUACCUGGCGGACGGGUGCUUAGUACACGCUGGCCGGAAGAACAAGUGAAAGGGCCCCAGCACAGCGCCUUUGCUGGGGCACGCCAGGCACUUUCAUGCCGUUGCCCAUGCUGACUCCCCUCCCAGGCUGCCCCCCUGCUGCUGCGUCUCCUCGUUAGCUCAGAGGUCAGCUCCUCGACAAGUCGGAGCUCAACUCCUCUGACGCCCCAGGCCCCGCGUGGGGCUGCCUGCCUGCUUCUCGUGUGCCCUGUGAGAUGGGCUUCGUUCUGACGGACGGGCCCCCAGUACUUUUCCUGAUGUAUCCUGUUGUUAGAGGUCUGCUGCUUUCUGCAUAGAUUGCAGUAUCCUAGAGGGCCUCUUCUUGUGAUUCCAACACAGGCUAAGGAACACAGACCUUCAGGUUCAACUGAAGAGGCAGUUCUAAGAAAGACAGCUGAGAUCAUCAGUUACCUCCUCAGAGAAAGUCCACUGGUGGUAGAGUUUUGUUUACCAUGUAAACAACGCAGCAUUUAUGGCUAAACCCCUUAUUCUUUCACAGGCAGACUAAAGAAUUGCGAGUUUUUUUUUUUUUGGUGGGGUCAUGAGGAUAAAAGACUGAAGAUCGGUCCUGGGAAGAUAGACCUGUAAGCCACAGAGUCUCCUCUACCCUUCAGAAUCCCCUUGGGAAGAUUCAGGCGUGCAGAGAUGGUCCUUUCCAAGCAAAUGUCAUAGGCACUGCACCUUCUCUUACCAAGCAAGACAGACUGGAUUUCCCAGAGUGCCUGGGGAUGAUGAGAGUGACCCCGAGAGGGGCGGGGCAGCCUGGAAACAGACUCUUGGCUUCAUGUAUCCAAAGCCCCCAGAAAAUGCCUGGAAGAGGAUGGAGGAGGAAGACCAAAGAUAAUCCUUAACUCUUCUACAGCAGGAAUAUAUACACUCAAUAAACUUUAAAUGUUUGCCUCUCUUGUGAGCGAAGGUGAUUGUGUGUGU